CUUUUUUUAAAUUUUCUAUUCCAAAGAAUUCCAUUUUAAAUUAGUUAUAUCAAGGCUUUUGUUAAGCAGGCUGUUUUAUAGACAAGGCAGCCUCAGGGCUUGCUUUUCAAACUUUGUGUCUCUCUGCAAAUUGUGUUUUGAUGCCAGUGGAAGUUUGUGUACAGGGGGCUUUCAGGGUCAAAUUCAGUUCUUGGCAGAGGCAGGUGGUUCAGCAAGAAUCAGCAGGGAGACUGCUUUGGAAGUCUUUUCAUGUAUUACUCUCCACAGCUGCAACGUCUCUGAAUGAAAAUUGAAGUCCAGGUCAAUAUUGUUACCUGCUGACUGCUUGUCUUUCUAUAAGAAAAAAAUUAUCUGCCUGCAAAACUACGUUUUUUUGCACAGUAUUGGUAAUGAGUUUAAUGACUUGAAUUUUAUUUUCUUUUUCUAUCAGCUG
rnacentral:lncRNA from 1 species